rnacentral:rRNA from 1 species
UACGGAGGGUGCGAGCGUUGUCCGGAAUCACUGGGCGUAAAGGGCGCGUAGGCGGCUCAUGAAGGCUGUGGUGAAAGUCCGGGGCUCAACCUCGGAUCGGCCGUGGCGACUCGUGGGCUGGAGCACUGUAGAGGCGGGUGGAAUUCCGGGUGUAGCGGUGAAAUGCGCAGAUAUCAGGAGGAACACCAAUUGCGAAGGCAGCUCGCUGGGACGUUACUGACGCUGAGACGCGAAAGCGUGGGGAGCAAACAGG